AGCAGCCGCGGUAAUUCCAGCUCCAAUAGUGUAUAUUAAAGUUGUUGCAGUUAAAAAGCUCGUAGUUGAAUUUCGGGAUCAAAUUGUCGGUCGUGCCUCGGUACGCACUGGUAUUAUUGGUUCCUACCUUCUGAAGAACCGCGAUGUCAUUAAUUUGGUGUCGUGGGGAAUCAGGACUGUUACUUUGAAAAAAUUAGAGUGUUUAAAGCAGGCUUACGCUUGAAUACAUUAGCAUGGAAUAAUGAAAUAGGACGUUUGAUUCUAUUUUGUUGGUUUCUAGGAUUGACGUAAUGAUUAAUAGGGAUAGUUGGGGGCAUUAGUAUUCAAUUGUCAGAGGUGAAAUUCUUGGAUUUAUUGAAGACUAACUACUGCGAAAGCAUUUGCCAAGGAUGUUUUCAUUAAUCAAGAACGAAAGUUAGGGGAUCGAAGACGAUCAGAUACCGUCGUAGUCUUAACCAUAAACUAUGCCGACUAGGGAUCGGAUGAUGUUAAUUUUUUAAUGACUCA
rnacentral:rRNA from 1 species